rnacentral:lncRNA from 1 species
AUGAGCUCAAGAUCUCUGAACAAUGCUACACAGUGCAUUGGACCAUUGCCCAGGCAACCUGCCCAGGAAAUAAGUUAUUUCUUCCAGCUGCUCCAGUUCACAAGGGAUGAAAUGGUCAUUGUCAAGCACGACUGUUUUCCUGGAGUUGUUCUACACAGAAGACACAUUUCAGUGGCAACUGAAACUGGAGUCCUGACCUUGACCUGGGCAAAAGAGGAAAAUGAGGUGGGCAGAACAGAGUGCAAUCUUGCUGCUGAUCUAAAACCCACCUGGGCCGAGCCCUGUAAUCCCGUGCCUGCUGCAGCCAACUCCAGCUCAACAUACUGCCAGCACGGGCACGCCACUUGGUGCUGGGGGCAGGCAGUUCUGGUAAGGAUUCCCCCUCCUGGUGCAUUCUUUUGGGAGCCUGCAAAUACCAGGUGA